rnacentral:rRNA from 1 species
CAGUCGCCGCGGUAAAACGGAGGGGGCUAGCGUUGUUCGGAAUUACUGGGCGUAAAGCGCACGUAGGCGGCUUGGUAAGUUAGAGGUGAAAGCCUGGAGCUCAACUCCAGAAUUGCCUUUAAGACUGCCGAGCUAGCAGGUGAGAGAGGUAAGUGGAAUUCCGAGUGUAGAGGUGAAAUUCGUAGAUAUUCGGAAGAACACCAGUGGCGAAGGCGGCUUACUGGCUCAUACUGGACGCUGAGGUGCGAAGGCGUGGGGAGCAAACAGGAUUAGAUACCCGCGUAGUCCCUGUCUCUUAUAC